rnacentral:misc_RNA from 1 species
GAUGAAGAACGUAGUGAAAUGCGAUAAGUAAUGUGAAUUGCAGAAUUCAGCGAAUCAUCGAAUCUUUGAACGCACAUUGCGCCCGCUAGUAUUCUGGCGGGCAUGCCUGUCCGAGCGUCAUUUCAACCCUCAAGCCCCCGGGCUUGGUGUUGGGGAUCGGCGAGCCUCCGCGCCCGCCGUCCCCUAAAUCUAGUGGCGGUCUCGCUGUAGCUUCCUCUGCGUAGUAGCACACCUCGCACUGGGAAACAGCGCGGCCACGCCGUUAAACCCCCAACUUCUGAACGUUUGACCUCGGAUCAGGUAGGAAUACCCGCUGAACUUAAGCAUAUCAAUAAGCGGAGGA